rnacentral:rRNA from 1 species
UUGUGCCCUUGAGGCGUGGCUUCCGGAGCUAACGCGUUAAAUCGACCGCCUGGGGAGUACGGCCGCAAGGUUAAAACUCAAAUGAAUUGACGGGGGCCCGCACAAGCGGUGGAGCAUGUGGUUUAAUUCGAUGCAACGCGAAGAACCUUACCUACUCUUGACAUCCAGAGAACUUUCCAGAGAUGGAUUGGUGCCUUCGGGAACUCUGAGACAGGUGCUGCAUGGCUGUCGUCAGCUCGUGUUGUGAAAUGUUGGGUUAAGUCCCGCAACGAGCGCAACCCUUAUCCUUUGUUGCCAGCGGUUCGGCCGGGAACUCAAAGGAGACUGCCAGUGAUAAACUGGAGGAAGGUGGGGAUGACGUCAAGUCAUCAUGGCCCUUACGAGUAGGGCUACACACGUGCUACAAUGGCAUAUACAAAGAGAAGCGACCUCGCGAGAGCAAGCGGACCUCAUAAAGUAUGUCGUAGUCCGGAUUGGAGUCUGCAACUCGACUCCAUGAAGUCGGAAUCGCUAGUAAUCGUAGAUCAGAAUGCUACGGUGAAUACGUUCCCGGGCCUUGUACACACCGCCCGUCACACCAUGGGAGUGGGUUGCAAAAGAAGUAGGUAGCUUAACCUUCGGGAGGGCGCUUACCACUUUGUGAUUCAUGACUGGGGUGAAGUCGUAACAGGGUAAC